CGAAUUAGGUUUCUGUAGAGAUACCUAGGCUUUAACCUCACUUUUCUCUGGGGACUUAGAUUAUUAAGACUUGAGCACAUACAGAACGCCUAAGACUCGAAUAUGGGUUCCAACCGUUUCCAAGAACAGUGAGUCAACUGUUUUGAUUUUAAACAUACACCGGUGUUGAGUUGAUACACGAUACACGAAACAAUUACACACAGUAAGCAAAACCUGGAAGGUUUUGAUAACACGCAUAUAGGACCUUUGGAAAGCUCUUGAUGAGAAACUUAUGUCGAAAUUCAUUAAAGGUCCUCACUUAGAACCAGUGACUAACAACUCGGGCAAACACCAUUAUCUAUACUGUCUAUGCUAUUUUAAUUACCAAGCAGGUAAUCUAAGUGGAACGAAACACUAGUGCGCGAAUGCACAUGAAACUUAAACUAUACGUCAGCGGACGUCGAAGUACAUCAUACACGACUUUCGAGGCAAGGCCUUUGGAAAGCAUGAUUGGGGAUGACAACAACGACGUUAACUCCGUCAAUGAUAGAACUACGGAUCGAAAUGCGGUAAUUUGCCACGCGAUAAUGCAAAUGACACGAGUCACGCUAAGGUAUGUUAAAACAAGAGUCCCCAACAGUCAGUACUUAGUCUGAAGAGAUUUCAAUGGUUGGCGCUGCAAAAGAAGUCACACGUCUUCGCAUUCCCCCUACUUCAUUAAUGACGAAUAUGCUAUGUUCGACAUUCCAUGGUAAUGUCAUCUAACAACCGGCUAUCUCACGAUAUUUCAGGUAAAGUCCUUAAAUCCAUUUUGUUGACAUUUUUGACUUUUGCAUAUAAUGAGUAGAUUUUCACAUUUCUACUCCCCCUAACGGUCACUACAUCACGAAGAUUUCAUUUCAUGAUAGCAAAACACUCAUUUGCUUAUUUCUUGACAAAUUCGUACGCUAGACAUGCAUUGUUUGUUACGCAUGUGGUUUCACUUCGAAUGGUUGUUUUGUCAACAUCUCAUAAAUUAUUUCGCUAUACUAAAUCUUUGCAUUGUAUUAUAGACGAACCGUAUUAUUGCAAAAUGUUGACUCCUUGUUAUCGAGUCAACGGAUUUCUUCGAAAACUCAUUUUCUUUUGAGUGGCAUACAUGGUUUUUCGUUAUGGCCAUGUCGAAACUUUUUAUUGAUACAUGAAUUCAUUGUUGGUUAAUGUUUCAACCAAGUUCAAUUGAUUGAACUUGCUCGUAAUAGAUAUACAAUUUAAGAUUCCAUAUGAUGGAUUGAGGCCAUCAUAUUCGAAAUAAUCCCAACAAGCACUUCAUUUGUUUUGAACUAUAACAUGCUUGUUUGGUCUUUGACUUCAUUGAUUCGUUUCCUUGAUCACGAUCACCUUGUGGUGACGUUCUCACAAAUUUGAAGCUUGCGCUAAUCUCGUUGCUCACAUCAUGUACGGAUUUAAUUAUUUAUUUAUUUGUUUAUUGAUAUUAAAUCUGUUUUGUUGAUUUAUCAUGUUAAAUCAGUCUUAAUACAAUUGUCUGUUAAGACAAUGGUAUACAAGUUCAUGUCAUAUUUCGGUGUACCUCUUAACGGAUCUUUCAUCAUCGAGUGGACAUUUUGUGAUGCUUAUUGCUCUUUCAUUUUCGAUCGAAAAAUAUUAUUUAUUUGUUUCAUUUUCAAUCGAAAAUCCUAUGAGAUUUGUUUGAAACAAGCGUUCAAAUUUACUUCGUUGAGCCUUCAUCUGAUUUCAAAACACGGUGAUACUUGUUCGGUCACCGCUAUUAUAUAAUUAUUUCAUUCACUAUGACGCCUUGUGGUGUUGGUAUAAACUUGUAGCUUGGGCUAAUCAUGAAUCGAGCGUUUCAUGCAAAACACGGUGAUACUUGUUCGAUCACCGCUAUUAUUGAAUUAUUUCAAUCACUACGACACCUUGUGGCGUCGGUAUAAACUUGUAGCUUGUGCUAAUCUUGAUCAAUCGCUUCAUGCGAAACUACAUAUUCUUUUUGAUUUACUAAUCACUCAAAUAGUCUUAAUGCAACUAUGUAUUAAGAUGAUGAUACACUAACUUCGGUUGUAAUUUCGGUGUAUCCUUGCAAUUCAAUAACGCCUUCACUAGAUUUAUGUUCAGUUAUUGAUUCGAAGGAUGAUGAUUCAUUUUCAUGUAUCUAUUUGAAAUGAAUAUGUUGAUUCUGUGUUUCAUUUAAACAACAACCUUUGCAAGUUUCCGUUGGUAGUGAAUUCUAUUGUUUCAAAAAUUGAUUUGCAUAUUGUGAACGUUCAUUUGGAAUUCUAUCGGUCAAAAUUCCUCUUUUGUUGAAUCCUCGUAAACUUAGACACAUUGGUGAUAGUAUCACUAUGCUUCUUUCACUUGACAUCGAUUUCGGGAACAAACUCAGUUGAACCGUUGGGUUCUUAUUGAUGCAAAAUGUCUUUAAAUUCAUAUAACUCGAAUAAGUCUUGAUUCGAUUACGCGGUCAUUCACUUUGUUAUUAUUUGGACUUACCUGCGAACAACACAACUCUGAGGAGGUAACAUAGUCUAAAUUUCGAGGACGAAAUUUCUGCAACAGGGGGAGAAUGUGACAACCGGUAAUUAACGGCUGCUAAUUACGUGAUUAACAAACGUUUAAGGCGAUAAUAAAUAAUGUUUAAGGCGCGAAUUAACUUAAUUAGGCUCUUGGAACGUCUAGGAAUGCAUAUCUAACCUUGCGGUGCGCGUAUGGGGAUUUGUGAGAAAACUGUUGUGCUUUAAACGAUAACGGACUGAAACCGUACGAAAUACUGACAACACCGACAAAUACGAAGUUUACACAUAUAAUUUAAAUUUAUGGAUUCCGUUAUACGAAAUUAUCACGCUUUCUAACGGCGCAAAACGCAAGCGAGAGCGGAAAACGCAGAAAUCAGAGCACACCGUCAAUCAAUAACGAAAUGGAAGCAUCGGACUCGAGUUACGUCGCAAUAUUAUCAUAUUAUGAUAUAUUUAACUUCGUUUUCAAAUUUUACUAUUCGUAAUUAGAAACGGAUCGAAAAACGAUCAAGAAACGACGAAUGAAACAAUUUUUUUUACGCAUUAUAACGUAACCGAUAAAUUAUGCGUCAUAUAUAUCGAUAACCGAUGCAAUUUUUAGUGUUUUGACACUAAAAUUUUAUUUACGACAACUUAUGAAGCUCGGGAACGAAAAUGGGCUCUAAAAAUGAAUCGGGUCGCACGAAACGGGCUUGUGGGCCUGGGGCCCAAGCCCACUUGAAAGACCUAGUAUAUAAGCACCUUUUCUCACUCUUGGUCAAUUGGAAACCCUAAAUAAGUCAGCGCACACCACAACUCUCACCUGAUCCCCUUUUCUUCAGCAUAUACUCUAAACAUCACCACAAACACCUUAUAUCCUCCAUUAUGUCAAAAUCCUAGCCAUAUCCCUUGCAUUUCCUCUGCAGAUUGUCAACCAAAUAAAUAAAAGAAAACAAACAAACAAACUCCAUACACUAAUAUCUCCACCCUCUCGGCUCUCUCUCUGACGACGAAGACAAAAGAGGCCGGCUGACCACCACCCUAGGUGGCGGUGCUCGGCGGCUGGGGCGGCAGACGAUAGUCAGCAACACAACCCCCCCCCCCCACACACACACACACACUUGUUUACCUUCUCUAAUUGAAACGGUCGACCACCACCAUCGUCUGGUGGCGGUGUGGCGACGAGGUGAAAGGGAGAUGGAGAGAGAGACGAUGGGAUAAGAGAGAGCGAGGAGAGAGAGAAGGUGGAGGGUUGAUGACGGUGGCAGGAAGCCGGCGUCGAGUCGAUUUUCGAUGACCGGCAACGGUGGUUCUGUUGUCCGACGGGUUCCGUGACGAUGAUGAUUUAUUGAUGUUGAAGGUGUAAAGAUCUGCAGUUGAUAAUGAUGUUUUGAUCGGUCACAAGGCAGCGGGUUUCUUUUCUCAUAUUCAGCUUUGGAUUCGUGUUCCAGGUUCUGUGACGGUUCGAGUUUUGGUUCAGAUCUGGCUCAGAUUCGUGUUGGGUUCUUGGUUUGAGCAGGGUUAUAAUAUUCCAGAUCCAUGAUACGGCUCGGUUCAUACUGUCAGUUUGGUUUGGGUCUCAGUCUCGGUUCGGUCGACUCGGGUCAAACCGGGUCGACUCAGUCAACGCUGGUCAACAGAAGUCAACACAGUCAAAGCCAGUCAAGACGGAUAACAGCAACCUCGGUCCGAGUCAGCUCAGUUUGGUGCGGGUCAAUGUCGAAUGUAGUUCAGUCAACUUGGUCAGAUUAGGGAGCGGUUCGGUUGACUCGGUCAAACCGAGUCAACUCGGUCAAACUCCGGUCAAAUGAGUCGCCACGAGGCUCGGUAAAGCUUAAACAUAGCAAAUUAUUAGUAUGUUAUUUUUAGAUUUUAUUAGUCUACGCGAACCGAGCUCGACCCGACUAACUAACGGUUUUACAUUAGUGAUUUGGUUUCGUAAUUGACGUUUUGAUAUACUUGGCGUAAACUUUAUAUAUAAUGGUUGUGAAACAUUGUUGAA